rnacentral:rRNA from 1 species
AGUGAACGCUGGCGGCGUGCCUAAUACAUGCAAGUCGAACGGCGUUGCUCUCGGGUGAGUAAUGUAUAGCUAAUCUGUCUUACACUAGAGGACAACAGUUGGAACCGUCUGCUAAUACUCUAUAGUGAAGUAUGAGGCUGUAUUGUAUCAGCUAGUUGGUGAGGUAAUGGCUCACCAAGGUUAUGACGCAUAACUGGUCUGAGAGGAUGAUCAGUAACACUGGAACUGAGACACGGUCCAGAAUCCUACUGGAGGCAGCAGUAGGGAAUAUUGCUCAAUGGGGGAAACCCUGAAGCAGCAACGCCGCGUGGAGUAUGACACUUUUCGGAGCGUAAACUCCUUUUGUUAGGGAAGCGGUACCUAACGAAUAAGCACCGGCUAACUCCGUGCCAGCAGCCGCGGUAAUAC